rnacentral:tRNA from 1 species
CGGGGUGUAGCGCAGCCUGGUAGCGCGCCUGGUUUGGGACCAGGAGGUCCUAGGUUCGAAUCCUAGUACCCCGACCA